rnacentral:rRNA from 1 species
UACGGAGGGGGCAAGCGUUAUCCGGAUUCACUGGGUUUAAAGGGUGCGUAGGUGGGCAGGUAAGUCAGUGGUGAAAUCUCCGGGCUUAACCCGGAAACUGCCAUUGAUACUAUCUGUCUUGAAUACCGUGGAGGUGAGCGGAAUAUGUCAUGUAGCGGUGAAAUGCUUAGAUAUGACAUAGAACACCAAUUGCGAAGGCAGCUCACUACACGAAUAUUGACACUGAGGCACGAAAGCGUGGGGAUCAAACAGG